GUAGGUGGCAAGCGUUGUCCGGAAUUAUUGGGCGUAAAGCGCGCGCAGGCGGUCCUUUAAGUCUGAUGUGAAAGCCCACGGCUCAACCGUGGAGGGUCAUUGGAAACUGGGGGACUUGAGUACAGAAGAGGAAAGCGGAAUUCCACGUGUAGCGGUGAAAUGCGUAGAGAUGUGGAGGAACACCGGUGGCGAAGGCGGCUUUCUGGUCUGUAACUGACGCUGAGGCGCGAAAGCGUGGGGAGCAAACAGGGAUUAGAUACCCUGGUAGUCCACGCCGUAAACGAUGAGUGCUAAGUGUUAGGGGGUUUCCCGCCCCUUAGUGCUGCAGCUAACGCAUUAAGCACUCCGCCUGGGGAGUACGGCCGCAAGGCUG
rnacentral:rRNA from 1 species